GCAUCCUGUAGCCCCGCUGUCCCUCCAGGAUGUCCCGGUGGGAUGGGAGCCGGCGCCACCCCGACCUCUGUUCCAGCCACCCGCCUGCAGCCCGGGCCCCAGUUCCGGGGCCUGUACCGAUCAUAUCCUCCUCCCGGUCCUCAAAGCUGAUCCUAGUGUUGUACUUCUCCAUCAGAGUCGAGGACUCCAGGGUGUCCCUCACCUUUGUGUCGCCCUGCAGGGCAAAGCCCCCUUCAGCCGUGCAGACACUCUGAACGGGAGCCUGUCAGCUUUGAGGGGACGUGGGCUGUGCAGGUUCCUCCCAGCCCGGGGCUACCUCCUCGGUCCUGGACACCAUCUGCACUCUGUCAGCCAGCAUGUCUGUCAUCUUCUUCUCAACGGACUUGAAGCUGCAGAAGGCAAUAGGGACACAGCAGUGAGGGGCACAGCCCCGAGAGCCAUGGUGGGCCACCCAGGAGCCCAGUCCUGAGUUGGGUGCUGUGCCAGAAUCAGGGACUCGGAAGCUCAGGUGUGUGCAAGUGGAGCCCCCUGGCCCCUCUGUGGGACACACAGGCUUGUUGGCAGUGGGUACACUCCCAGCUCCCAGCCUGGCUGCAGCCCGGGGCCUUCGUGAGACUGGGGUGGGUGGCCCGCAGCCCCGGAAGCCCGGGGCACCUGAUGGAGCUAGGCUUCUGGCGGAACUUGAGCACGGCCUCCUCCAGCUCCAGCUGCUUCACCAGGGCCUUCAGCUGCACCCGCCGCUCCUCACAGUCCUCCAUCUGCAGCUCCAGGUUCUCCUCCGUGUUCCUCUGGGCCAGGAAGCGGCUAGCAAUGUCCUGGCCAGUCCGGGGGAGAGAGAAGCAGGUGUGGGCUGGGAAGGUGGGCAGAGGGGGCUUCACAGAACUGGUUUCUUCUGGGCCCCUCCUAGAGGCUAGUGCACUUUCUCUGUGCUCAUUCACAAGUGCGAUCACAGCUCACUGCAGCCUCAACCUCCCAGACUCAAGCGAUCCUCCCACCUCAGCUUCCUGAGUAGCUGGGACCACAGGUGUGCGCCACCACACUUAGCAGGAGUGAAGCGCUUUGUGGAUGUCAUUGCACACGACCCUAAUGGCAGGCAGAGAGAGUAGAUAACCCCAUGUAGAGAUAAGGAGAUCAUCACUGAAGGACGUUGUGUCACUUGAGUCACUUGUCUGACAGUGGACAAGCUUGUGUCAGGGCAGUGGUUGGGAGCUCAAGGCCUAAUAAUAAUAAACGCAGAUACGCAGAUGGGAUUAAGAUAAAAGGAUUUGGGGCGGCCGAGGGAGUUGCCACUUUGUGUGUCCAUUUCAGAGCGCCUCAGACCCCAGCCCAGCUCAGCCACCCUCCUGCCAUGCUCUGGGAGUGCCAGGGAGCAUUACCCAGACGUGAGAGGCUCAGCCACCCUCCUGCCAUUCUCUGGGAGCGCCAGGGGCAUUACCCAGACGUGAGAGCACUGUACAGCACUCUUGACCUUCUCCACCACAGCAGUCACGCCCGCCUGGUAUUCCAUUUCUCCUGUGGAGGUCUCUUUUCUCCUCACUGGCAGAGCAGAGGGGAGGGGCAGUCAGCAUGCAGGGAUGGCUCAGGGGCUCUGUGUAAGGCUGUCAGACACCUCUGUACCUGCCCAGCUGCUGGGGAGGCCACCCAAGACACAGGCAUCCUUCAGAGAUGCCUGCCCCACCCCCACCU
rnacentral:lncRNA from 1 species